rnacentral:rRNA from 1 species
GUGAAAUUCCGUCGGAAUCUGGGAGGACCAUCUCCUAAGGCUAAAUACUCUCUAGUGACCGAUAGUGAACCAGUACCGUGAGGGAAAGGUGAAAAGCACCCCGGAAGGGGAGUGAAAUAGAACCUGAAACCGUGUGCUUACAAGUAGUCAGAGCCCGUUAAUGGGUGAUGGCGUGCCUUUUGUAGAAUGAACCGGCGAGUUACGAUUUGAUGCAAGGUUAAGCAGUAAAUGUGGAGCCGUAGCGAAAGCGAGUCUGAAUAGGGCGUUUAGUAUUUGGUCGUAGACCCGAAACCAGGUGAUCUACCCUUGGUCAGGUUGAAGUUCAGGUAACACUGAAUGGAGGACCGAACCGACUUACGUUGAAAAGUGAGCGGAUGAACUGAGGGUAGCGGAGAAAUUCCAAUCGAACCUGGAGAUAGCUGGUUCUCUCCGAAAUAGCUUUAGGGCUAGCCUCAAGUGAUGAUUAUUGGAGGUAGAGCACUGUUUGGACGAGGGGCCCCUCUCGGGUUACCGAAUUCAGACAAACUCCGAAUGCCAAUUAAUUUAACUUGGGAGUCAGAACAUGGGUGAUAAGGUCCAUGUUCGAAAGGGAAACAGCCCAGACCACCAGCUAAGGUCCCAAAAUAUAUGUUAAGUGGAAAAGGAUGUGGCGUUGCCCAGACAACUAGGAUGUUGGCUUAGAAGCAGCCAUCAU